GGAUUGUAGCUCAGUGGUAGAGUGCUUGCCUAGCAUGUGUGAGGCACUGGGUUCAAUUCUCAGCACCA
rnacentral:tRNA from 1 species